GGCUCCAAUCCGCCGGGACGCGAGCGCGCGGGUCGCGUUGCAGAACCAAGGAAAGCCAGGGUGAACGGGGCGCCCGGGUUGUCUUCUGGAGCGUUCCGAGGAGCCCGCGCUGCUGACCCUUUGUUGGAGCGGGGUGCAUUGGCUCUCCUCCCUCAACCCGUCUUGACACCCGCAGCUGACAAGGAGAGGUAAAAUAGGGCACCCAAACUACUCUGCGCUUUACCCUCUCAAACACUUGUUUUUAAAUCCUUUGCAUCUAGUCAGUCAUUCAACAUGUAUCAAGCACCAGCAGCUAUUCGUAGCACAGCUGUUAAGACCUGGAAUAAUAAAACCUUAAGACUAUUUGGCAACUUACUCCUGAAAGGUAAUAUACGGAUAAUUUCAUCUGUAACACGCAGAUGAGGAAAUUGACCUCACAGAUUUAAUGUAAAUUCAGAGUUUACACCAAUUUAACCGCAACAAAUAAGGAGCUGUCAAUAUAUAUUUAAUAAGGAACACACACAAAAAAAGCUGAAUAAAUCCACUUCCUACCUUCUGCUCCAGUUGCCUCUGCCAGCUGGUGAAAGCUUAAGGAACUGAGCCCUCUUAGCCUCGAGGAUGAGAGGUAUAGAGAAACAGAUCACCCAAUAAACAUUAUUCCCAAGUUGAAGAGCCCACAUGCCCUUUGAGAAUGGGCUGGAUGGUAGUAAACACAGGGCCAGAGGGUCUGGGAUCUGUACCCAAAGACUGUCUGGAAUACAGGACUAUUUGGCCCCUAGGGUUCAGACAGACUAGGUAUAAAUUCUGGCUUUGUUUUUUAUUAACCAGGUUAACUUGGGACAGAGAUUCAAUGUCCCAGAGUCGGUUUCCUGCUUUAUGAGAGGUUCUCAAAGGUGACAUGAAAAGUAGAUGAGAUUAUCAUGUGUCACUCCAGUGUCCGGUCCACCUAAAGCUCCUUUGUUUUGUUUGUUUUUUAAGUUAUUGCCUGUUCCCUCAAACAAUUUACCAAAUUUUUUUCCAGGAAUAUGUCUGUAAUGUCGAUGUCUACCUUAACAUCAGUAGGGUAACUAUCAAGUGUAAUUCAUCUUUGUAUCUCCACUGGUUAGUACAGUACGUAGCACAGAGUUUGGACAUAGUGAAUGUUUACAAAAUGAAAACAGACCAAAUUCUUCCAAACUCAAUUACUUAUCUGCACAUUUGCUAUCAAUUAUUAUGAAACUUUCCUGAAUUCUUACUUUCUUAUUUCAUCCACAAAAAACACAAAGAAAAUAAGUUAUUUGAAAAAAUAGCAAAUUAUGUAAUUUUGAGCUUUUCUAUGUAAUUCAUCAAUAUUUAAAAAAUUACAAACUCUUAAAUGUUAGAUUCAUAUUUUAGUUUGACUUCAGUAUGGAGCAUACAGUGAUGUUAUAUAAAUGUAGAUGCUUUUAAAAUGCUGGUCUAAUUCUAAGAAUGAUUAAAUUAUUUCUUCAUGUGAAAGAUUAUGGUCUUAAUUACAAUUAAAUUAUAAACAUGAUUUAUUCUGGUGAGGACUGACCAUUGACUUUCUUAUUCAGCAAAAUGAUUAUCAUUGCUAUUUACCUUUCAGAAUUACAUUACAAGAAAAAAAAGUAAGGAGAUUGAACUCUUCAAACCGAUCCAACAGUAAAGCCUUUUAAAAAAAUUCAUCCUUGGAAGUAAUUCAUAACUAACAGGUGUGAUCUCCAACCUCUGGAAGACCCUAAAAUAAUUACAGAUGCACCCUGGGAUUUCCUAGAAUUUGUGCUGGACUGGCUUCCAAAACUACUCAUCAUUGUCAUCCAAACAAAGCAGUGAGCAGCUGGAAGUUGUUGGUAUUGUACUAAAUAAAUCUAAAGAAAAUUAGAACAAAUAUGAUCUAUGUUUUAAUAAUCAUAAGUAGGAAGCAACUUGGAUACAGAUACACAUAAAUUUAUCCAUUCCUUCAUUCACUAAUUCAUACACUCAUAUUUGCUAAGCAAAUGCUAUGUCCCGGACAAAGUACACCAUUGUGAGUAUCCAAUGUUGACCAAAAUGGAGCCGGUUGUAAGGUCUUUUGAUAUGAUGUUAAAAUUAUUUUUCACUAUCAACAUUUCUAUUGUAAGACAAUAUCAUCAUUUACUAAGUUUAAGAGUAAGUCAACAAAGAAUUAUAAUCUAAUUGCUGACAGCAGUCAUUUUUAAGCAAUUAUUGGUUUGAUCAUAAAAACAAAUGCCACUCUGUUCCUAGUAUGGAGGAAGUUAAAGCUCUCACAACUGUUGGAAGGGCUGAAGGAGGGAAACUCAGAGAAGCUCCACUGAAGAUCUCAGCCUCCAGUCCCCAAGACAGUGGUUCUCAGGAGUUCUCCUGAAGCCACUGGAGCCACAAGAUCUUUCGGAAGUUCUCAGCAAUUCAGGGCUGGAUUCAGGUUUUGUGAUGCUUAAAACUAAUACAAUUUAGAGAGCCCUUUUUGAGAUAAAAUAAAGUUAUGAAUACUAAAAUGCUAGGACUGCUCCCAGAGUCUUCGAAAGGGUCCGUGCAAGACAGGAGCCCUGAAAUUUAAACUUCAUUAGCUUUACUCCUGCACCUGCUAUCUCAGUCAGCAACACCGAUGCAGUAAGUCCUCAAGAAGUUCAUCUGGAAGCAGCUUUGAUGCCGAUGCAUCUUUCUAUAACUGACUCUGGUAUAUAAUGGUCUUCUCUUCUUCCUUCUAAACUUUGAGCGAAAGGCUCUCAUUGUUAGAUUCCAACUUGGAAAUAUACAGGCCGGGAGGGAGAUUCUGGGAAAUGUAGUCUCUGCAUUUGAAGAAGCUAAAGUUGAUGCUAAAUUGACAGGAGGCUAUCCAGCAUAUCACCCUAAGGAAGAAAAUGCAAUUAAUUGACUAAGGAGAUUGAGGAGAAUUCAAGUUAUUCAAGGGACUGGAGCUUAAAAUAAGGAAGCUUUGUGUAUUAGCAUAUUUGAAACUGGAAAACAGUGAAGUAUUAAUCUCAACUUAAUUGAUACAAAAAAGAACAUGAGGGAAAUGGUCAGUUUGGAACAAAAAAGUGCAAGAAUAAGAGAGUAAAGGUAUUUCAGGAUGUCUCCAGCAAUGUUCAGGGGGAGAGUGGACCUUGGUUAUCACGCUCUGUUUGGCACUCAGUAGUAAUGCAUUCAGCACAUUUAUUAAUCAUUGCAAUUUGGUGCUAAGAACAUCAUGCAAAACAGGCAGGAAUGCCCCUGUAUUGAAUGAAUUAAUGGUAUAGACCCAUACUGUCCCAUUGGAAAUAUAAUUUGAGCCCCAAAUGUGAACCAAAUAUUUAAUUUUAAAUUUUCAAGCAGCCACAAUAAAACAGUAAAAAACAGAUGAAAUUAAUUUUAAUAGAUUUUACCUAACUUAAUCAAUAUAAAAUAUAUAUUAUUUCCACAUUUAAUCAAGGGUAAAACCAUGAAUGAUGUAUUCUACAUUCCUCUUUUUUUUUUUUUUUGGUACUAUCUUCAAAGUGUGUAUCUUACACUUCUAAGACAUCUCAAUUUGAACUCACAUUUAAAGAGUUCGGUGUGGCUGAUGACUACCAUAUUGAGUAGCACAAGCCUUCUAGACAAUUAGAAGUUUAACCUGAAUAAUUCUUCAGGAUUCCAUUGGGAAAAAGUCCUGGGCCUGAAAGCUGGACCAUACAUCAGUCUGUGGCUACCCAGCAAGAUAAUGCUACCUGUUGGGCUGGUUUGAGCUUCCUUUGUGACAUAUAAUAUCCAAAGAAUUUACAUGAACCAUAAUGCCAUAAUUCUGAAUAACUCUAUAAUGAUGUCACUGAUGAUCUCUAGGGCAUGUAAACAAAGUGAAUUUACAAUAUCCAUUCCCUGUCACCACUGCCUUUAUGGACUAUGCUUCUUCUUUAACUUUCACAUAUAUUGGCCUACCAUAAUGAAGAUGUAUUAUAGGAUUUCUUCCUUUUCAUUAAGAGAACUGAGAAUAUGGUGGGGAAUUGGCUGUGACUUUACUCUCCCCUAUGGGAAGCUGGAUUUAGAGUUCAGAAAAUGUUGCACCUCUAGACCUGAAAUUAU
rnacentral:lncRNA from 1 species